rnacentral:rRNA from 1 species
CGCGCAGGCGGUUUUAUAAGUCAGAUGUGAAAGCCCGGGGCUUAACCCUGGAAGUGCAUUUGAAACUAUAAGACUUGAGUAUGGGAGAGGGAAGUGGAAUUCCUGGUGUAGAGGUGAAAUUCGUAGAUAUCAGGAGGAACACCGGUGGCGAAGGCGACUUCCUGGACCAAUACUGACGCUGAGGCGCGAAGGCGUGGGGAGCAAACAGGAUUAGAUACCCUGGUAGUCC